AGGAUGAACGCUGGCGGCGUGCCUAACACAUGCAAGUCGAGCGAUGAGGCUCCCUUCGGGGGGUACAUCAGCGGCGAACGGGUGAGUAACACGUGGGUGACCUUCCCCAAAGACGGGGAUAACUCUUGGAAACAGGGGCUAAUACCCGAUGUGCUCAGCAGUUCACUCUGUUGAGUAAAGCUAUGGCGCUUUGGGAUGGGCCCGCGGCCCAUCAGCUAGUUGGUAGGGUAAAGGCCUACCAAGGCUAAGGCGGGUAGGGGGCGUGAGAGCGCGAUCCCCCACACUGGCACUGAGACACGGGCCAGACUCCUACGGGAGGCAGCAGUGAGGAAUAUUGCGCAAUGGACGAAAGUCUGACGCAGCGACGCCGCGUGGGCGAUGAAGGCCUUCGGGUCGUAAAGCCCUUUUCUGGGGGAAGAGAAAGGACGGUACCCCAGGAAUAAGCCCCGGCUAACUACGUGCCAGCAGCCGCGGUAAAACGUAGGGGGCAAGCGUUAUCCGGAUUUACUGGGCGUAAAGAGCGUUGAGGCGGUUUUGUAAGUUGGGCGUGAAAGCCCUGGGCUUAACUCAGGGAAGCCGUUCAAUACUGCGAAACUUGAGGGCAGCAGAGGGAGGUGGAAUUCCCGGAGUAGCGGUGAAAUGCGUAGAUAUCGGGAGGAACACCAGUGGCGAAGGCGGCCUCCUGGGCUGCUCCUGACGCUGAAGGCGAAAGCUAGGGGAGCGAACGGGAUUAGAAACCCCGGUAGUCCUAGCCGUAAACGAUGGAUGCUAGGUGUGGGGGGUGUAGAUUCCCUCCGUGCCGCAGUUAACGCGUUAAGCAUCCCGCCUGGGGAGUACGGCCGCAAGGCUAAAACUCAAACGAAUUGACGGGGGCCCGCACAAGCAGCGGAGCGUGUGGUUUAAUUCGAUGCUACACGAAGAACCUUACCUGGGCUUGACAUACAGGUAGUAGUGAAGUGAAAGCGGAUCGAUCCUUCGGGGAGCCUGUACAGGUGCUGCAUGGCUGUCGUCAGCUCGUACCGUGAGGUGUCGGGUUAAGUCCCAUAACGAGCGCAACCCCUAUCGCUAGUUGCCAGCAUGUAAUGGUGGGGACUCUAGCGAGACUGCCGGUGUAAACCGGAGGAAGGUGGGGACGACGUCAAAUCAGCACGGCCCUUACGUCCAGGGCUACACACGUGUUACAAUGGCCGGUACAAAGAGCAGCCACCUGGCGACAGGGUGCUAAUCUCCAAAGCCGGUCUCAGUUCGGAUCGAAGUCUGCAAUUCGACUUCGUGAAGGUGGAUUCGCUAGUAAUCGCGCAUCAGCCAUGGCGCGGUGAAUAAGUUCCCGGGCCUUGUACACACCGCCCGUCAAGCCAUGGAAG
rnacentral:rRNA from 1 species